rnacentral:rRNA from 1 species
GUGCUUAACCAUGCAAGUCGAACGAUGAACCGCUUUCGGGCGGGGAUUAGUGGCGAACGGGUGAGUAACACGUGGGCAAUCUGCCCUGCACUCUGGGACAAGCCCUGGAAACGGGGUCUAAUACCGGAUAUGACUGUCNNNCGCAUGGUGGAUGGUGUAAAGCUCCGGCGGUGCAGGAUGAGCCCGCGGCCUAUCAGCUUGUUGGUGAGGUAGUGGCUCACCAAGGCGACGACGGGUAGCCGGCCUGAGAGGGCGACCGGCCACACUGGGACUGAGACACGGCCCAGACUCCUACGGGAGGCAGCAGUGGGGAAUAUUGCACAAUGGGCGAAAGCCUGAUGCAGCGACGCCGCGUGAGGGAUGACGGCCUUCGGGUUGUAAACCUCUUUCAGCAGGGAAGAAGCGAAAGUGACGGUACCUGCAGAAGAAGCGCCGGCUAACUACGUGCCAGCAGCCGCGGUAAUACGUAGGGCGCAAGCGUUGUCCGGAAUUAUUGGGCGUAAAGAGCUCGUAGGCGGCUUGUCACGUCGGUUGUGAAAGCCCGGGGCUUAACCCCGGGUCUGCAGUCGAUACGGGCAGGCUAGAGUUCGGUAGGGGAGAUCGGAAUUCCUGGUGUAGCGGUGAAAUGCGCAGAUAUCAGGAGGAACACCGGUGGCGAAGGCGGAUCUCUGGGCCGAUACUGACGCUGAGGAGCGAAAGCGUGGGGAGCGAACAGGAUUAGAUACCCUGGUAGUCCACGCCGUAAACGGUGGGCACUAGGUGUGGGCAACAUUCCACGUUGUCCGUGCCGCAGCUA